GGAGGAGUUCCGAGCAACGGUGAUGCAUGCUGCGAAAGCUAUUUCUGGGGCCGACGGGAAGUCGAGCUCGGUUGGCAGCCGCGGAACGAAAGAAGGCGAUGGAGGCGAUGGCAGCGGGAGAAUUGUGUGCGUCACCAGUGGGGUGUCGUUCGUCGGCUUUGCUAUUGUCAACCGCCUUGUCGAACGGGGUUACAGCGUCCGUCUCGCGCUCGAAACACAAGAGGAUGUUGAGAAGGUGAGGGAGAUGGAAAUGUUUGCAGAGAUGGGGGCGGACGGCGUCUGGCCGGUGGUGGCGAAUGUCAUGGACCUCGAUAGCUUGUGCAGAGCUUUCGACGGAUGCUCCGGUGUGUUCCAUACCUCUGCAUUUGUUGACCCAUCAGGAGUGUCCGGUUAUACAAAGCAAAUGGCUAAUAUGGAAGCUAGAGCAGCAGAAAGAGUUAUAGAAGCUUGUGUGAGAACUGAAUCUGUUAGAAAGUGUGUGUUCACUUCCUCUCUUCUAGCCUGCAUCUGGCGCCAAAACUCACCUCUCAAUCACCAUCUUCCUGCCAUUGUUGAUGAGAAUUGCUGGAGCGAUGAAUCGCUAUGCAGGGACAGAAAGUUAUGGUUUGCAUUGGGCAAGACAAUGGCCGAGAAAGCGGCUUGGAGAGCAGCUCGAGGACGGAACCUCAAUCUCACAACCAUAUGCCCGGCCCUUGCCACAGGACCGGGAUUUUCCCGUCGGAAUUCGACUAGUUCCAUUGGCUACUUCAAAGGAGCUCAGGAGAUGUUUGCAGAGGGGAUGCUGGCGACUGUAGAUGUUAACAAUGUGGCAGAGGCACAUGUCCGUGUAUACGAGGCAAUGACAAACACCGC
rnacentral:misc_RNA from 1 species